rnacentral:lncRNA from 1 species
UAGAGCGAGUGGUUAUUAAUAUCUUACUUCCACUAGAGCCACCCACUAAUAAUCUCUUUAAAUUCUGCCAUUUUUCUCUAUUCUCAUUCCACACAUCAUCUAGAACAAGCAGAUAUUUCUUCCCACUAAUAAUUUUUUCCAGUCUAGACUUCAAUGCUUCUAACCCAAGAUCUUCCGAUUUAUUCCCUGUUGCAGACUCUAGAAUCUUUCCAACAGUCAUUUUCACAUCAAAAGGUUCUGAAACACACACCCAUAUUCUUGGCUCAAAUGAAUUCUUAAUCAUUUCAUCAUUCAAUAUGAUUUGAGCAAGAGUGGUCUUCCCUAAUCCUCCAAUUCCAACAAUUGAGAGGACUGAAACACACUCUUCACCAUUGGAAGACAAUACAAGUUGUGUAAUUGCCUUUUUGUCACCCUCUCUCCCAAUAACCACUUCAGGUAAAGAGGACGUAGUUUGAUCCCUCCAUACAAUACUCUCCUGAUCAGUACGAACCUCUAAAUUAAAUUUUCUGUCAGCUUCAAUAUCAGCUAGCCUCUCCCUAAUCGCCUUAACUUUAUGACCCAUUUUAAAACCAUAAACAAGUUUAUUUGAAGACGAAAAGAAGAGACUUACCUCCUUUGUCAUUCUAUUUCCAGUCAUCACUCGGCGCCUUAGGGCUUCUGUGGCGAAGUCAUCUACCAAAUCAUCAGCAUCAUAAACCACUUCUUCUAGCCUCUCAAGCCAGCAUUUCACUUGACGGUUAAGUUUCUGCUGCUCCUCAGCAUCCAGAAGAACGUUGCGAAUACUAGAAACUGUGGCCUCAAGUUUCUUAAGCUCACCUUUGACGCCCCACCACAAUCCGAUCUCAUGAAGGGCUCGAGAACCCAGCUUGGUAAUGAUAUCUCCGACAACGUUAGAGAGAACUCCGUCGGNNNNNNNNNNNNNNNNNNNNNNNNNNNNNNNNNNNNNNNNNNNNNNNNNUUUAAAUAAAAAAAAAAAAAAAGAAGUGGAGGAAAAAGCGGUCCGUUAACUUUGGACGGCGCUGGUUUGCUUUAAUUUAAAAAGUAAAAUAUAUUAAUAAAUUUAUAUAUAGAAUGAAAGUUAGUUAUUUUUUAUAAAAUAAUUUUAUUUUUUAUUAAAUAAAUUUUAUGAGUGAUUUAAAUCGUUAAAAAAUAUAAAAUAUAUUUUUGAUGUUACUAAAAUUUUGUUAUUGAAAUGAAAGUAUUUUUAUAUAUUUUGUGAUGAUGUAUAAAGUUACAUUAGGUAUAAUAUGAUGUAUAGUAAAUUUAUUAUGAGUUUUAAUGACUUUAAAUCGAUUUAAAUUUUAAUAUUGAUAGCGGUUCAAUUUCUGAAUUAUUAUCGAAAUGUAUAGCAGGAGCUCAAGAGUAUCCUGUUGCAUAUUAUAGAUCCAUCGAUAUAAAAAAUAUGGCAUAUGCACACAUUCAGGAUUUAGAGAUUCCUUCAGCUAGUGGCAGAUAUUGUUUAAUUAAAAGAGAUGUCCACUUCUCUGAGGUUUUGAAGAUUGUGUCAGCAACAUUAUCCUACAUUGCACCUUCCAAAAAACUAUGGUUUUUUUUAUAUUUUUGCAUGCUCAUGUUGGACCAGCUAUAUGAAUGGCUAAGAUAUAUAAUUAUUUGGAUAACUGAGAAAUAGUUAUUUUGAAUGAUUAAUUUGAUCAUGGAAUAUAAUCUGAGUUGCAGAUGUGGCUCUGAAUUGAAUUACUUAACAAAGUAUGAGGUAUCAAAGAAAAAAGCGAAAACUUUGGAUAUUGAUUUCAUUCCUUUGGAGGUUAGUUGAAGGACACUAUUGAAAGCUUGAAGGAGAAGAGCCUCCUCAGCAUUUGAUUUUGGCUGUCGGAUAAAAAGCAAUGCAAAUAUUACAUUGGCCUUUCAGGUUCAUUGGCUUUAGCUUUCUAUUGGUGUAAGGUAUUAUUGCCCUUCAGAAUUGUCUUUAUUUAAAAAAAGUGAACCCAUACAAUUUGUAAAAUAUAUUAAAAUUUGUAUACAGCUGUAUAUAAACAUAUUACAUGUGUCGCUUGUUUCUGGUAGAUAAAGUUCAUUUCAGGUCUGAUUUCUGAGGAAGUUGCUCUUUUUUUUUAUCUGAUUUCAAGUCUCAUUCCAAAGAAGAAGACACAAGAAAAAGAAAAUGUGUAAUCCACCAAUUCAGAUUUAGUUCAGUCUUUUCAAAGUAUAUUCAGAUUUCAUAGCCAAUUCAUUUAAUGCUGUAUCUGAUUUCUGGUUCUUGUGAUACGCUCUUACAAAAUUCAUUUAAAAUUCAGUACUCUUACACAUUUUGGAAACACAAUUUAUACAAAAACUGAUUUCUCAGGAAAAAAAAGGAAAAUAAUGUUAUUUGCAUUGAAUGAACAAAUGAUUAGCAUAGUAGCAAAACUACUUAAAAUAAGAGAAAUUAGAAACCAAAAAGCAGCACAGCAUGAGUCUGGGCAUUGCAUGUUGGAUGAUCGAAACAGAGGUCUUGAGUGCGAAUCUAGAUCCUGAAAUACGCAGGCCUGCAAAAAGUCAUUCGAAGAAGUGUGCAAAACUCCCAUCAUUCAGCUUUCUUUCUGCUUCCCGCUCAGCAGGAUUACUAUGUACUGAGACAGAUAGGAAACUUAUCCCGGUGAGUUUUUAUUCCGGGAUGUCAAGGGCACAAUGCGCAGCUUAGUGAAUCUCCAUCAUCUUUGCCACAGGUGUAAGUUAUGAAGAUAGUUGCUAGAUGGAGGAUUUUCACACUAGUGAUUAAGCAUCUGUUUCAAGCCAGAAUCAUCAUUAAAUCACAGAUUUGCUUUACAAGCAAUAACUAGAGGGAUUUCAUAUUACAAGUAGAGUCUUUAUAACCUACUGAAUCGCUUAUUUACGAAGACAGAAGAAUAGGAGAGCUCACGUUUUGUUUUUACUGCACAAAUACUGCAUAUGGAAUCUGAGUGAGAAGUUACUCCCUAAAAAUUUCAAAAGUGUUUUUGAGAGGUACCUUUGAGCGAAUCUUCUGGCAACAGACUCAAAGAAGUCAUCCAAUAAGUAGAAAUUCUUCUAUGGAAGGCCACACACAUUAAUAGCAGUUCUUUCAAGGCGAAUUAUGCCAAGCCAAUCAAGGAAUUGCUGCCAUGGCAUGUAGUUGUGGUUUCUUAAUGUGUUCGAGUAACUUCUGCACAAGGAAUCAAAUUAAUCUUUAAAUCCGUGAAAUUAAAAGGGAUGCAGAAUUACAAAACUAAUAAUAAGAACAAUAAUAAUAAGAUGGAUAGAAGCAUGACCUGCCAAUGCAUGAUUUCGGCAAGCCUUUGCUUUGGUUCACCACUUCCCAAUGUAGUAAGAAUUUCAACAGCAUCCCAGAAUUUCAAUAGCAUCCCAAUGAUAACUCAUACUUGAUGAGCCUUGAUGGAGAAAUGAAAGUCCAGUUAAAAUUAUUCAAAAUGCAUAUCCACUCGCCAAGAACAUAUGCACCCAGAAAUCUCCUUAAAUAAAUAAGGUUUUAACAAGGUGAAUGCUUUGCUUUUUCUUUUUUUGGGAAGAACUUCAAAGUAAACAAAGGUAAGACUAUUGGGUUUUGAUGUUUACCUUGUGUGGGAGAAAUGUGAUGUUUACCCAGAAAUCACAUUUUGUUUUCAGAAUAAAUGGUUUUUUCCACCUCUGCAUUUGACAUUGAAAAAACUUGAAUAAAUACCAAAUAAUUAAGAUAUGCUGCUGAUUUAAUUUACAAAGGAAUGGCGCAUGUGAAGAGAAAUUGACAUAUGACAAUCACCUUCAGCACAAUCAAUUCUCAUCCUAAUUUAGAAGACUAAUCAAACUAAUUGCAGCAAUAACAUCUUUUCCACGAAGUCUACUAACUUCUGCACAUAGAGUCAAAAUUAAUCCGUUAUAUCCAUGAAAAGAAUGAAGGCAGAAUUACAUUAAAAAAUGAAUAAAAAUGACGGUUAAAAGAAAGACCUGCCAAUGCAUUUAAAAUCUCUUUGAAUUUGUUUCCCACAUCCCAAUUUAUUAGAAUUUCAGGUGAGUAAAAAACAAAUAAAUGAUUCCUCUAGCUUGAUGAGCCUGUACAUGUGGGAAAAAAGUGUUAAAAUAUUAUCAUAAAGCAAAUAAAUUCUCAAUUAUACAAAAAAUAAAAGAAAGAAAAGGUACUCUGUAUAUUGAUCUUGAUUGUAAAGAAAUAAUGACAAAAGGUACUCUGUAUAUUGAUCUUGAUUGUAAAGAAAUAAUGACAAAAGGAUACUUACGAACUCAAAGGUAAUACACUGCUCAUUUUGGAAGAAACACAUCCAACACUUCAAAACUUAUCCUUCAUUGAUCUGUGUAAAUAGAAUCAUAGAGUGAAGAUUUUCUCAUGUAAGUUUAAUUUGCAAAUUGGAGAGAAAAAGGACCAACUUACCGAAGCUUCAUCAUCCAGUAGAUAGCGGCCCUCUCUUUGAAUUCUUUGGUCAUCAACUUCAAUAUUUGGGAUGUGAGAAAUGAAAGCCCAAUCCGCACCCUUUCUAUUUCCACAUCUUUCCUUCAAUUGGGGACGGUCAUUGAUAUUCAAUUCUCGUAACGAGGUGAGGGAACGCAUCUCUUGAGGCAGACACUUUAUUGCCGGACAAAUCUGAAUGGUUAGUCUUUGAAGACAAGUGAGAUUCCACAGUCCAUCUGGAGGUAGAGAUUCCAGCUCUUCAAUGUCCGUAAUCUGAAGGAUCUUCAAUUUAGAGAGAGGAGGAAUGAUUGAGGAAGAAGAAGAGAUUGAUGGUGUGAAUAUUUGGUGCACAAGUUGUGGGCUUGCGCAGUGCAAAUAUAGUGAAUGAUCGAGAGAUGGAAACUGAGGGAUGGAGUUCAAAUUAGGGCAGUCCCUACAAACGAAAUACGAAAGACAAGGAAAUUGGAGUAGCUCAAGAGCUGUCGAAUCAUCCUUCUUCUUCUGCAAUCCUUUAAGCUUAGGACAACCAUAUAGCACGAGAACCCUUAGGGAUGGAAAGAAUGAUGUUGCUUGUCCCUCAAUCUCAAUGUACUCUAAAUCAUCUACUUCACGAAUAUGUAGAUAUUGAAGAGAAGGGAUUUGAUCCAUUGGUGGGAGAUGCUGAUAUCUAUUGCAAUUCCGUAUACAGAGAUAGACAAGAUUCGUGAGGGAAGAGAACCAACUUGGGAACCUCCUGCCUCCAUUGCCAAGCACACGUAACUCUUUAAGAUUGGGAUGCGGUUGGAGAUUUUGGAAUGCCAUUUCAUCUCUAUCAACAUUUGAAUCUUCCCAACUCUCCUCGCAACGUAAUUCCAAUGAUUGAAGGACUGGUUUCUCUUUCAUAUUAACAUUUACAAUCUCAUUAUCCACACAACCCAGAUUUAUAAUUUCAAGACGUCCCCUCAAAUUCUUAAGCUUAUUCAGUUCAUUUAUUUUUUCAACAUCCUUUGAGGAAAUAUGCCCUUUUGCCACUACGAACAGCGACAACGUCUGAAGUGAAGUCAACUGCCCAAGCCCACGUGGCAUAUGAGUCAAAGAGUAACAACCUUCACAAUAUAAAUGCCUAAGAUUUACAAGCUUUUUAAUAUCUUUAGGCAAUUCUUUGAGCUGGACACAGUAAGAGACAUCUAAUACUUGUAAAUUCAGCAAAUCGGUAAUAGAAUGUGAAAGUGCUUUAAGUCCCUUGUUAUCGGAACGUCAAGAUAUCUUAUAUAUUUUAGCAUUUUUAAAGAAUUAUCCAUCGUUGUAUAUGAAUGCAUCAUAAAUACACGUAAAAAUUUUAAAUUUUUAUAAAUAAAUAGUUGAUCGCAAUCAUAUUUCUCAAGCAAAAGAAGCGAUCGUACUCUUUUUGCGUUAUUAAGAAUUUCUUUUGAUGCAACAUCCAAAUUCAAUGCUACAUGAUGGAUUUUCUCAUUAAUAUUUAGUAUAUCAGAAUUUACUAGCUGAAUCCUCUUCCCACCCACUGUGGUUGCGAGAUCGUGCAUUAAAUCAUGCAUUUUACAGCUCUCUACAUUUCCAUAUCUAUCUCUUUCCACUUCUUGAAAAAAUGACCUCCACCACAGUUUCAUAAAAUAUUCAAGCCUAAUAUCUUCAAGAUAAUCACUCGUACUUGGUGACUCAAUAAACCCUUGUGCAAUCCAAAGAUGGAUUAAUCUUUUCACAUCAAUCACAUAAUCUUUUGGAUAUAUUGCGCAAUAUGCAAAACAAUGCUUCAAAUGUGAUGGGAGAUGAUCAUAACUUAGCUUCAGUGUUGGCAUAAUAUCAUUACCAUCUUGACUUAUUCUUGAGAGUUCUUUUGUUAAAAAGGGCAGCCACUCAGUUUCUGGAUUUUUCGCAUACAAGAGACUUGCGAUGGUUUUUAUUGCAAGAGGAACUCUAUGACAUUUCUUCAAAAUCUCCUUUCCCAUCUCUCUUACAUUUGCAUGUUUUGGCUCCUGCCCCUCAAGUGCUACAUGCAAAAACAAAGACCAAGACUCAUCCGGAGACAACCCUUCCAAAACAUGUGGUGCCAUUGUGCUAGAUAUAUCUGCCACCUUUUUAGAGCGAGUGGUUAUUAAUAUCUUACUUCCACUAGAGCCACCCACUAAUAAUCUCUUUAAAUUCUCCCAUUUUUCUCUAUUCUCAUUCCACACAUCAUCUAGAACAAGCAGAUAUUUCUUCCCACUAAUAAUUUUUUCCAGUCUAGACUUCAAUGCUUCUAACCCAAGAUCUUCCGGUCUAUUCCCUGUUGCAGACUCUAGAAUCUUUCCAACAGUCAUUUUCACAUCAAAAGGUUCUGAAACACACACCCAUAUUCUUGGCUCAAAUGAAUUCUUAAUCAAUUCAUCAUUGAAUAUGAUUUGAGCAAGAGUGGUCUUCCCUAAUCCUCCAAUUCCAACAAUUGAGAGGACUGAAACACACUCUUCACCAUUGGAAGACAAUACAAGUUCUGUAAUUGCCUUUUUGUCACCCUCUCUCCCAAUAACCACUUCAGGUAAAGAGGACGUAGUUUGAUCCCUCCAUACAAUACUCUCCUGAUCCGUACGAAACUCUAAAUUAAAUUUUCUGUCAGCUUCAAUAUCAGCUAGCCUCUCCCUAAUCUCCUUAACUUUAUGACCCAUUUUAAAACCAUAAACAAGUUGAUUUGAAGACGAAAAGAAGAGACUUACCUCCUUUGUCAUUCUAUUUCCAGUCAUCACUCGGCGCCUUAGAGCUUCUGUGGCGAAGUCAUCUACCAAGUCAUCAGCAUCAUAAACAACUUCUUCUAGCCUCUCAAGCCAGCCUUUCACUUGACGGUUAAGUUUCUGCUGCUCCUCAGCAUCCAGAAGAACGUUGCGAAUACUAGAAACUGUGGCCUCAAGUUUCUUAAGCUCACCUUUGACGCCCCACCACAAUCCGAUCUCAUGAAGGGCUCGAGAACCCAGCUUGGUAAUGAUAUCUCCGACAACGUUAGAGAGAACUCCGUCGGCCAUUUUGGGCGUUUUGGUUUGAUUGUAAAAGGAUGAAAUGUUGCUGUGAAGAAGAAGACGGUGACAACAAAUGACUGAUUUAAAGAAAAAAAAAGAAGUGGAGGAAAAAGCAUUCUUCUAAAUGAUUAUCUUCGGUCGGUCAACUUUGAACGGCGCUGGUUUGCUUUUUAAAUAAUAUAUUAAUACAUUUAUAUAUAUACAGAUGGAAAGAAAGUUAUUUUUUAAAAAAUAAUUUUAUUUUUUAUUAGAAAUGCAUUUUUUUUAAUUAAAUUUGAUGAGUGAUUCAAAUAUUAAAAAAUAUAAAAUAUAUAUAUACAGAUGGAAAGAAAGUUAUUUUUUAAAAAAUAAUUUAAUUUUUAAUAGAAAUGUAUUUUUUUUAAUUAAAUUUGAUGAGUGAUUCAAUUAUUAAAAAAUAUAAAAUAUAUUUUCGAUAUUGCUGAGAUUAAAUUGAUGUUGUAGUCGGAAUGAAACUGUACUAUAAUUGGUUAGAAUUUAUAAGAGAGGAAAUAUGAGAUAGUGGUGGGUACCUAUAGCAGCAAGGCAGUGAUGAGUACCUAUGACAGCUACUGUGACGCUAAAGUCAGUAUUUUGAAAAAUAGAAAAAAUUUAAUGAAUAACUUAGAGUUUGAGUAGUAUCAUAGAUAAUGUACCUUUAUCUUCGUAAUCGUUCUCCUUUUAUACUAUGAGAAAAUGUAUAUAAAUAUAUCAUGAAACAACAGGGCCUAAACUGGUCCAAAUAACUUUUGGACUCACUUUUCACUUGACCCAAAAUGGUUAAUUCAGGUUAUUUAGUAGUUUCGUGCUAGCUAUUAUAUACAAUUCCAAAAUCUCCCGAUGUGGGACAGCUUUCGCAGCGGAAGCGAACAGCUGACCAUUACACUCGAUCCCGCUAAAUUUGCGACGUCCUCGUCGCAGUUGAAUUGGAUACAAUUGCUAAUUAGGACCGAACCCUUAGGUAUUGUGGUUCGCUAGUACGUCGGGCGGCUCCACCUCGUCUCACACGGGUAGCUCUUUCCUUACAGGCUCACUAGCUCUACAUAAUUUGUUUGAUCUAGAGUGGCUCUAAUACCAAUUGAAACAGUCAGGUCCAAACUUGCUCAAAUAACUUUUGGACCCACUUUCUACUUUGCCCAAAAUAGUUAAUCUAAGUUAUUUAGUAGUUUUGUGCUACCUAUUAUAUACAAUUCCGAUUUUCUAUAAUCUCCCGGUGUGGGACGGCUUCCGCAGUGGAAGCAGGUAGCUGACCGUUGCACUUGGUCCCGCUAAAUUUGCGACGUCCUCGUCGCAACUGAAUCGGAUACAAUUGCUAACCAGGAUCGAACCCUUAGGUAUUGUAGUUCGCUAGUACCUCGAGCGGCUCCACCUCGUCUCACACGGGUAGCCCUUUCCUCGUAGGCCCACUAGCACAAUUUGUAUCUAGGGUGGCUCUAAUACCAAUUGAAACAGUCGGGUCCAAACUGGCCCAAAUAACUUUUGGACCCACUUUCCACUUGUCCCAAAAUGGUUAACUCAAGUUAUUUAAUAGUUUCGUGCUAACUAUUAUAUACAAUUUCGAUUUUCUAUAAUCUCCCAAUGUGGGACAGCUUCCGCAGCGGAAACAGGUAGCUGAUCGUUAUAAUCGGUCUCGCUAAAUUUGCGAUGUCCUCGUCGCAACUGAAUUUGAUACAAUUGCUAACCAAGACCGAACCUUUAGGUACUGUGGUUCGCUAGUACCUCUGGCGGCUCCACCUCAUCUAACACGGGUAGCUCUUUCCUCGCAGGCCCACUAGCUCUGCACAAUUUGUCUAACUCAGGGUGGCUCUGAUACCAAUUAAAAUAGUCGGGCCUAACCUGCCCCCAAAGGUUUGACUUUUGAAUCUGUGAGCGGACUUUAGGCCGUCGAACCUGCUGCCGAAAGUGCCCUGUCCAGCCUUUUUCAGCUUGCUUCCUACGUGUGUUCUUCUAUGUUCUUAGGGGGUAGUUUUAAGUGUUGUAAAAGUUAUAUUUGGUUCCUCAUUUAAGUCCAUCUGUGUAGGAUCGGACUUGGAAGAUCGUAGAAACUUGCAGUAAGAUAACUGUAUCAAAAUUAGGCGUGCGUCAGCCAGAGGUGAGUAGAACUAAACUCAAUUAUUAUUUUAAAAAAACCAAAUGUUUUAAGCAUACUUAUGCAUCACAAAUGCUAUGUAUAUAUAUGAUUAUGGUGCUUUGCAUUAGAAUUCACGAAUAUAAUGCAUUGCAUAAUUUAUUAUUGUUGUUGAUGUAUGUUAGAUGACCUUCUAGCCCUCAAGUAUGUUAUGGUAUGUUAUGACGGAUAUGGAAAGAGCAGGACUUGCUCAUUCUACGCCCUUGGCACUGUGUAAGGGAAAGACCAGGGUUACACAUUUUAUAUCCGUGGCACUAUGGAUAUGUUAUUUUAUGUUUAAGAGGAAAUUCUGAAAAGCGCUUGUCGUGGGCUGGGCACUAUUGGAAUCUAUAGAGAGUCACUGGUGACAAGUCUAUCUUGAUAUGAAUUGUUUGUGUUGUGACACAUUUAUACGAUCAUAUGUCUUAUUAAACUGCUUUUGUUAUGUUUCUGCUCACUAGCCUCUUAUAGUUUAUCCCUUUUCCCUAACUCCAGAUUUGCAGGAUCAGAAUUAGCUCGAGAGGUGGGCCGAGGUGUUGGUAUAGUCCAUUGUAAUAACAUAGUUGUGGACAUGUAUUAAUUUGUGAAUUUGAAUUGUGUUUUGCGUGAGUUUUCUUUAUAAUCCUUAUUUUAUGAUUUUUUUAUGUAAAAGAUUUUAAGUCUAAAUUAUGUUUGAACUAAGCUUGAGGUGUGUAAUAUUGACUAUACUAAAACAUUUGAUGAGAGCUCUAGUAUGAAUUUAUGUUUCCAGUUCUGAUACAUGCGCAGGUCAAGUUUUUGUUAUUGAAAUAGAAGUGUUUUUACAUGUUUGUGUGAUUAUGUAUGGAUCUAUAUCAAAUGUAACAGGAUGUAUAGUAAAUUUGCUAUGAGUUCCGGCAACCUUAGAUUGAUCUGAACCGUAGUGCCGAUAGCGGUCUGAGUUGCAGAUGUGGCUCCGAAUUGAAUUAUUUAACAAAGUAUGGGGUAUCAAAGGAAAAAAGUGAAAACUUUGGGUAUUGACUUCAUUCCUUUGGAGGUUAGUCUGAAGGACACUAUUGAAAGCUUGAAGGAUAAGGGCUUCCUCAGCAUUUAAUAUUGGCUGUUGGAUAAAAAGCAAUGCAAAUAUUACAUUGGCUUUUCAGGUUCAUUGGCUUUAGCUUCCUAUUGGUGCAAGAUAUUAUUACCCUUCAGGAUUGUCUUUAUUUGAAAAAAGUGGACCAAUACAAUUUGUAAAAUACAUAACAAUUUGUAUACAACUGUAUAUAAACAUAUUACAUGUGUCACUUGUUUCACUGGUGGAUGAAGUUCAUUUCAGGUCUGAUUUCUGAGGAAGUUACUCUUUUUUUUAUCUGAUUUCAGGUCUCAUUCCAAAGAAUAAGACACAAGAAAAAGAAAAUGUGUAAUCCACCAAUUCAGAUUUAGUUCAGUCUUUUCAAAGUAUAUUCAGAUUUCAUAGCCAACUCAUUUUAUGCUGUAUCUGAUUUCUGGUUCUUGUGAUAUGCUCUUACAAAAUUCAUCUAAAAUUCAGUGCUCUUACACAUUCUGGAAACAACAAUUUAUACAAAAACUGAUUUCUCAGGGAAAAAAAGGAAAAUAAUGUUAUUUGCAUUGAAUGAACAAAUGAUUAGCAUAGUAGCAAAACUACUUAAAAUAAGAGAAAUUAGAAACAAAAAAGCAGCACAGCAUGAGUCUGGGCAUUGCAUGUUGGAUGAUCGAAACAGAGGUGUUGAGUGAGAAUCUAGAUCCUGAAAUACGCGGGCCUGCAAAAAGUCAUUCGAAGAAGUGUGCAAAACUCCCAUCAUUCAGCUUUCAUUUCUGCUUCCGGCUUAGCAGGAUUACUAUGUACUGAGUUGUUUUCUGAACUGUGACAGAUAGGAAACUUAUCCCGGUGAGAUUUUAUUCCGGAAUGUCAAGGGCACAAUGCGUAGCUUAGUGAAUCUCCAUCAUCUUUGCCGCAGGUGUAAGUUAUGAAGAUAAUUGCUAGAUGGAGGAUUUUCACACUAGUAAUUUAGCAUCUGUUUCAAGCCAGAAUCAUCAUUAAAUCACAGAUUUGCUUUACAAGCAAUAACUAGGGGGAUUUCAUAUUACAAGUAGUCUUUAUAACUUACUGAAUCGCUUAUUUUUGAAGACAGAGGAUGAGGAGAGCUCACGUUUUGUUUUUACUGCACAAAUACUGCAUAUGGAAUCUGAGUGAGGAGUUACUCUCUAAAAAUUUCAAAAGUGUUUUUGAGAGGUACCUUUGCGUGAAUCUUCUGGCAACAGACUCAAAGUAGUCAUCCAAUAAGUAGAAAUUCUUCUAUGGAAGGCCACACACAUUAAUAGCAGUUCUUUCAAGGCGAAUUAUGCCAAGCCAAUCAAGGAAUUGCUGCCAUGGCAUGUAGUUGUGGUUUCUUAAUGUGUUCGAGUAACUUCUGCACAAGGAAUCAAAUUAAUCUUUAAAUCCGUGAAAUUAAAAGGGAUGCAGAAUUACAAAACUAAUAAUAAUAACAAUAAUAAUAAGAUGGAUAGAAGCAUGACCUGCCAAUGCAUGAUUUCGGCAAGCCUUUGCAUUGGUUCACCACUUCCCAAUGUAGUAAGAAUUUCAACAGCAUCCCAGAAUUUCAAUAGCAUCCCAAUGAUAACUCAUACUUGAUGAGCCUUGAUGGAGAAAUGAAAGUCCAGUUAAAAUUAUUCAAAAUGCAUAUCCACUCGCCAAGAACAUAUGCACCCAGAAAUCUCCUUAAAUAAAUAAGGUUUUAACAAGGUGAAUGCUUUGCUUUUUCUUUUUUUGGGAAGAACUUCAAAGUUAACAAAGGUAAGACUAUUGAGUUUUGAUGUUUACCUUGUGUGGGAGAAAUAUGAUGUUUACCCAGAAAUCACAUUUUGUUUUCAGAAUAAAUGGUUUUUUCCACCUCUGCAUUUGACAUUGAAAAAACUUAAAUAAAUACCAAACAAUUAAGAUAUGCUGCUGAUUUAAUUUACAAAGGAAUGGUGCAUGUGAAGAGAAAUUGACAUAUGACAAUCACCUUCAGCACAAUCAAUUCUCAUCCUAAUUUAGAAGACUAAUCAAACUAAUUGCAACAAUAACAUCUUCUCCACGACGUCUACUACCUUCCGCACAUAGAGUCAAAAUUAAUCCGUUAUAUCCAUGAAAAGAAUGAAGGCAGAAUUACAUUAAAAAAUGAAUAAAAAUGAUGGCUAAAAGAAAGACCUGCCAAUGCAUUUAAGAUCUCUUUGAAUUUGUUUCCCACAUCCCAAUUUAUUAGAAUUUCAGGUGACUAAAAAACAAAUAAAUGAUUCCUCUAGCUUGAUGAGCCUGCAUAUGUGGGAAAAAAGUGUUAAAAUAUUAUCAUAAAGCAAAUAAAUUCUCAAUUAUAAAAAAAAAAAUAAAAGAAAAAAAAAGGUACUCUGUAUAUUGAUAUUGAUUGUAAAGAAAUAAUGACAAAAGGAUACUUACGACUCAAAGGUAAUACACUGCUCAUUUUGGAAGAAACACAUCCAACACUUCAAAACUUAUCCUUCAUUGAUCUGUGUAAAUAGAAUCAUAGAGUGAAGAUUUUCUCAUGUAAGUUUAAUUUGCAAAUUGGAGAGAAAAAGGACCAACUUACCGAAGCUUCAUCAUCCAGUAGAUAGCGGCCCUCUCUUUGAAUUCUUUGGUCAUCAACUUCAAUAUUUGGGAUGUGAGAAAUGAAAGCCCAAUCCGCACCCUCUCUAUUUCCACAUCUUUCCUUCAAUUGGGGACAGUCAUUGAUAUUCAAUUCUCGUAACGAGGUGAGGGAACGCAUCUCUUGAGGCAGACACUUUAUUGCCGGACAAAUGUCAAUGGUUAGUCUUUGAAGACAAGCGAGAUUCCGCAGUCCAUCUGGAGGUAGAGAUUCGAGCUCUUAAAUAUUUUAACAUUUUUAUAGAAUUAUCCAUCGUUCUUCUAUAUGAAUAUAUAGUAAAUACACGCAAAAAUUUUAAAUUUUUAUAAAUAAAUAGCUGAUUGACAUCAUGUUUCUUAAACAAAAGAAUCGAUCGUACUCUUUUAGCAUUGUUAAGAAUUUCUUGUGGUGCAACAUCUAAAUUCAAUGCUACAUGAUGGGUUUUCUCAUCAAUAUUUGGUGUAUUAAAAUUUACUAGCUGAAUCCUCUUCUCAUCCACUCUAGUUGCGAGAUUGUGCAUUAAAUCAUGCAUUUUACAGCUUUCGACAUUUCCACAUCUAUCUCUUUUCACCUCUUGAAAAAAUGACCUCCACCACAGUUUCAUAAAAUAUUCAAGCCCAAUAUCUUCAAGACAAUCACUGGUACCUGGUGACUCAAUAAACCCUUGUGCAACCCAAAAAUGGAUUAAUGUUUUCACAUCAAUCACAUAAUCUUUUGGAUAUAUUGCGCAAUAUGCAAAACAAUGCUUCAAAUGUGAUGGGAGAUGAUCAUAGCUUAGUUUCAGUGUUGGCAUAAUAUCAUUACCAUCUUGACUUAUUCUUGAGAGUUCUUUUCUCAAAAAGGGCAGCCACUCAGUUUCUGGAUUUUUCGCAUACAAGAGACUUGCGAUAGUUUUUAUUGCAAGAGGAACUCCAUGACAUUUCUUCAGAAUCUCCUUUCCCUUCUCUCUUACAUUUGCAUGUUUUGGCUCCUGCCCCUCAAGUGCUACAUGCAAAAACAAAGACCAAGACUCCACCACAGAUAAGCCUUCCAAAACAUGUGGUGCUAUUGUGCCAGAUAUAUCUGCCACCUUUUUAGAGCGAGUGGUUAUUAAUAUCUUACUUCCACUAGAGCCACCCACUAAUAAUCUCUUUAAAUUCUGCCAUGUUUUUCUAUUCUCAUUCCACACAUCAUCUAGAACAAGCAGAUAUUUCUUCCCACAAAUAAUUUUUUCCAGUCUAGACUUCAAUGCUUCUAACUCAAGAUCUUCCGAUUUAUUCCCUGUUGCAGACUCUAGAAUCUUUCCAACAGUCAUUUUCACAUCAAAAGGUUCUGAAACACACACCCAUAUUCUUGGCUCAAAUGAAUUCUUAAUCAAUUCAUCAUUCAAUAUGAUUUGAGCAAGAGUGGUCUUCCCUAAUCCUCCAAUUCCAACAAUUGAGAGGACUGAAACACACUCUUCACCAUUGGAAGACAAUACAAGUUCUGUAAUUGCCUUUUUGUCACCCUCUCUCCCAAUAAUCACUUCAGGUAAAGAGGACGUAGUUUGAUCCCUCCAUACAAUACUCUCCUGAUCAGUACGAACCUCUAAAUUAAAUUUUCUGUCAGCUUCAAUAUCAGCUAGCCUCUCCCUAAUCGCCUUAACUUUAUGACCCAUUUUAAAACCAUAAACAAGUUGAUUUGAAGAUGAAAAGAAGAGACUUACCUCCUUUGUCAUUCUAUUUCCAGUCAUCACUCGGCGCCUUAGAGCUUCUGUGGCGAAGUCAUCUACCAAGUCAUCAGCAUCAUAAACAACUUCUUCUAGCCUCUCAAGCCAGCCUUUCACUUGACGGUUAAGUUUCUGCUGCUCCUCGGCAUCCAGAAGAACAUUGCGAAUACUAGAAACUGUGGCCUCAAGUUUCUUAAGCUCACCUUUGACGCCCCACCACAAUCCGAUCUCAUGAAGGGCUCGAGAACCCAGCUUGGUAAUGAUAUCUCCGACAACAUUAGAGAGAACUCCGUCGGCCAUUUUGGGUGUUUUGGUUUGAUUGUAAAAGCACGAAAUGUUGCUGUGAAGAAGAAGAUGGUGACAACAAAUGACUAAUUUAAAGAAAAAAAAAAGUGAAGGAAAAAGCAUUCUUCAUAAUUAUCUUCGGUCGGUCAGCUUUUGCGGGCGCUGGUUUGCUUUAAUUUAAAAAGUAAAAUAUAUUAAUAAAUUUAUAUAUAGAAUGAAAGUAAGUUAUUUUUUUUUAAAUAAUUUUAUUUUUUUUAUUAAAAAAAUAAUUUUUAUUAAAUAAAUUUUAUGAGUGAUUCAAAUAGUUAAAAAAUAUAAAAUAUGUUUUUGAUGUUACUGAAUUUUGGUUAUUGAAAGGAAAGUAUUUUUAUAUACUUGUGUGAUGAUGUGUAGAAUUAUAUUAGGUGUAACAUAACAUAUAAUAGAUUUGUUAUGAGUUUUAAGGAUUUUAAAUCGAUUUGAAUUCUAAUACUGUAGCGAUUCGAUUUCUGAAUCGUUACGGGAACAAUGAAUUGAUUUUAUUUUUUGGGUAGCAAAAGCUUAAGAGUAUUCUGUUGCAUAUUAUAGAUCCAUCGAUGUAAGAGAUGUUGCUUAUGCAUACAUUCAAGCUUUGGAGAUUCCUUCAGCUAGUGGCAGAUAUUGUUUCAUUAAAAGAGAUGUCCACUUCUCUGAGGUUCUGAAGAUUGUGUCAGCAACAUUAUCCUACAUUGCACCUUCCAAAAAAGUAUGGUUUUUUUUUUAUAUAUUUUUGCAUGCUCAUGUUGGACCAGCUAUAUAAAUGACUAAGAUUUAUAAUUAUUUGGAUAAUUGAGAAAUAGUUGUUUUGAAUGAUUAAUUUGAUCAUGGAAUAUAAUAUGAGUUGCAGAUGUGGCUCUGGAUUGAAUUACUUAACAAAGUAUGAGGUAUCAAAGGAAAAAGCGAAAACUUUGGAUAUUGACUUCAUUCCUUUGGAGGUUAGUUUCAAGGACACUAUUGAAAGCUUGAAAGAGAAGGGUUUCCUCAGCAUUUGAUUUUGGCUGUUGGAUAAAAAGCAAUGCAAAUAUUACAUUGGCCUUUCAGGUUCAUUGGUUUUAGCUUCCUAUUGGUGCAAGAUAUUAUUGCCCUUCAGGAUUGUCUUUAUUUGAAAAGAGUGGACCAAUACAAUUUAUAAAAUAUAUAACAAUUUGUACAGAACUGUGUAUAAACAUUUUACAUGUGUCACUUGUUUCACUGGUAGAUGAAGUUCAUUUCAGGUCUGAUUUAUGAGGAAGUUACAAUUUUUUUUUUUUUAUCUGAUUCCAUGUCUCAUUCCAAAGAAUAAGACACAAGAAAAAGAAAAUAUAUAAUCCACCAAUUCUGAUUUCGUUCAGUCUUUUUAAAGUAUAUUCAGAUUUCAUAGCCAAUUCAUUUUAUGUUGUAUCUGAUUCAGGGUAUUAAAUAACGGCCGUUACGUAACGUAACGGCCGUUAUGUAACGGUAUCAAGGGGGGUCGUUACCCGUUAGGCCGUUACCCAACGGCCCCCUUGAAUUGCAUCCGUUACGGCCGUUACGUAACGGUAACGGCCGUUACCGACAGUGAUGUAACGGUAACGGCCGUUACUUUAUCCCAACACAAACUUCAGAUUACAGAGAAUAUAUUCAAAAACCAGCUAUGCAUUGAAUUUGACCACUUUUGUCCCUCUUCUCCAGCAAGCACAGCAGACAACCUCAUUUUGCAACUAAAAUUUCCAACUUUCUUUUCCUUUUCUCUCAAAUAUCUCAAUCUCAAGCUUCUCUAAACAUUUCUCAUUUACAAUUACAAGCUUCAAUCUACCAUUAACUACUUCAUUUCAAGAUAAUUUCUUUUAAAAAGUGACUUAAUAUUUCUAUGUAUUUUUACUUUCAAAGUUGCUGUAUUUUUUUUUUUAAUUUUUGUAGAUUAAAUUUGUAGUUUUGAGUUAAAAAUAUAUUUUGAGCUAUUAAUUUGUCCGAUCUAUAAAAAUUGUAUGGUUUUUGUUAGUUUAGACUAUUUUUCAGAAAUCAUUAUGAAAUUAAACUAAUUUUAGUUGCUGUAUUUUUUUUGUUUCAUUUUUGUGGAUUAAAGUGUUAGAUUUGAGUUAAAUUAAUAGUGUAUUUUUACUUUCAGAAUUUUAGAGGAAUCAGAGCUGCUGUAUUUUUUUUUUUAACUUUUGUAGAUUAAAUUUGUAGUUUUGAGUUAAAAAUAUACUUUGAGGCUAUUAAUUUGUUAGAUCUAUAAAUUGUAUGGUUUUUGUUAGUUUAGUUUAGACUAUUUUUCAGAAAUUAUUAUGAAAUUAAAUUAUUUUUAGUUGCUGUAUUUAUUUUUUUUUAAUUUUUGUGGAUUAAAGUGUUAGUUUUGAGUUAAAUUAAUAGUGAUAGAAUAAGACUUGUAGUUUGACAAUUAAAAUUUCAUAUUUAUAUAAUUUGUGUUAAAUAGAAAUUAAUAUAUGUAGUUAGGUUAAAAUUAAAAUAUUAGUUAUGAAAAAAAUAUUCGCCUUCCAUGUAUUUGACAUUUGAUAUCUUUUAAAUUUUAUGAACAAUUAUUAAAUAUUUGUAUUAAAAUGCCUCAUGGAAGUGGUUCUGGUUCUACUCAAGGGGUGGUAAACUAAGUGAUGAUAUUGGGUGGAAGUUUGCAACACCUACAGGGAAAAAAAGGAGAACUGAUUUGUAAUUUAUGUGGGAGAAAAGUCACAGAUGGAAUAACAAGAUUGAAGUUGCACUUGGCUAACAUACCUGGUCAAAUUGCAGGUUGUGAGAAAGUUUCUUCCAAAGUUAAGAAGGAUAUGGCCGCUGUCCUGAAAGAAUACCAAUUAGCUAAAAAGGAUAAAGAAAAAAGAGAAAGAGAAUUAGAAGAAGAAAUUAUGAAUAUAAAUAGAAUCGAAGAUGAUGAAGAGGAGGAGGAGGAAGAGGAUAUCGAAAUGGAAAUAGCGAGACGGGCGAGCAUGAGACAGUUGGAAGAAGAUGAAUUUAAAAGGAGAACUGGAUCUAGAUUUGAUGUUGGUGGUAGUAGCAGACAAGUGUUGGGUCGUUCUGCUACUACACGUGAGGGAGGUAGAGAAACACAAAAAUAUGCAGAAGUAUCUACACCGGCAUCUCGGUUGGCUGCCACAGAAAUUGAGAUAGAGAGAAGCAGAGCUCAACAAAAGCAGCCAAAAUAAAAAACUAAAUGGUUGAAGACACAGAAGGAGAAAAUGUUGUAAGCAUUUGGAAAUUUUAUUAUACAUAAUAGGCUUUCCUUCAGUAUUGUUGAGUCACCGUGAACAAAGCCACUUUUAAGAACAGCAGCAGAAAUCGGGGCUAAUGUAUCUCCACCUACUGCUUAUGAAAUAGCAAAAAUUUAUCUAAAAAAUGAGUACAAUGAGAUGAAAAAAUAUAUAGCCUCAUUUGAUGGAAUAUGGAAGGAGAGGGGAGUUACUAUAAUGUGUGAUGGUUAGAGUGGGCCAACACGUAUGAGUAUAGUAAAUUUCCAUGUCUAUUCAAACAGAGGAACAGUGUUCCACAAGUCUAUUGAUGCAUCCAAUGUGGAAUAUAAAGAUGGAGAACACUAUUUUAAAAUUAUGAAAGAAGUAGUGGAAGAAAUAGGGCCUAAAAAAGUUGUCCAAGUGGUAAUGGACAACGAAGCUGCCAUUAAAUUAGGAGGGAAGAAACUGAAGGAGAAAUUCCCUAAUCUAUAUUGGACUGCUUAUAGUGCUCAUUGUAUUGAUUUGAUUUUGGAAGAUAUUGGAAAGAAGAAGAGUGUGAAAAAAAUAAUUGACCAAGCCAAGGUAAUUACUCAAUUUAUUUAUAAUCAUAAUUGGGUAGUCAAUUAUAUGAAGAAAUUCACGGACAAUAGAGAUAUUAUUCGACCUGGCAUCACUAGAUUUGCCACAAACUUUAUUGCUUUAGAGUCUAUUGUCCGUUAUAGGGUGAGGCUAAGGAAUAUGUUCGAAUCGGAGCAAUGGAUGAUGAGUAAAUAUGGACAAGCAACAAGUGGUCCAGCGCAUGAAGUCAAGAAAAUUGUGCUUGGCUUAGGCAGCGAAGGAAGAAACUUUUGGGAGAAGGCACAACAAAUAAUGAAAGUUCAAGAACCUCUCUUGAAGGUUUUAAGAUUAUUUGGUGGGGAUGACAAGCUAACAAUGAGAUUUAUAUAUGAGGCAAUGGAGCGAGCGAAGUUGGCUAUUCAAAAAAAUUCUAGAAGCUAUUUGGAAUAUUGGAGAAUAAUUGAUCAUAGAUAAAAUUUUCAAUUGCAUCAUGACUUACAUGCCGCUGGUAAGAACAUUGUAUUAUAAUUUGAUAGUUUAGAAAAUUAAAUUGUUAAAUUAAGAGAUAACUUAUUAUCUAUCUUCAUAUUUUAUUUUGCAGGAUAUUUUCUAAAUCCUUAAUAUCAAUAUGGCCCAUAUGAUAUUGGAAAUGAUAAUGAGAUCGUCUCAAAAAUGUGAUUCAACAUCUAGAGGGGGAUUUAGUAAAUCAAGGAAAAACAUUAAAUAAAGUAAGUAACAACUAACAAGCUAAUUCUUAAUUGUUACUAUGUUAGUGUAGUUGAAGGCUUGAAGCUUGAAUUGUUGCUUUUGAACUUGAAGUUAACUUACUGGAAUUUGGAACAUGUAGACCCUACUUUUUCGGGACAAAAUAGAGAGUUUUGGAACAGUUUUGGCACAAAAGGCAAUUAAGUUCACUAAUCCAGGUACUAAGUUUAUAAAAUAAGUAUAAAUUAUUUUUGUUCAUUCAUUUAUAUACAGCUAAGUUCAUUAAAAUAAUAAAAACUUAAAAUAUUUUACAGCUGAGUGGUGGAUUAAUUAUAGAGAAAGUGCUCCUGAGUUGAGAAAAAUCGCUAUUAAAAUACUGAGCCAAACAACUUCAGCUUCAAACUGCGAGAGAAAUUGGAGCACAUUUUCUCACAUUCACACAAAGACAAGAAACAGAUUGAAGUAUAAAAAAUUACAUGCACUUGUCUUUGUGCACUACAACAUGAGGCUGAAAAUCAGAAAUGUGAUAAGAAAAAGCCAACAGGAGUUAGACAGGAGCUACGAUCCAAUUAAUUUGGAUUAUAUUUUUAAAGAAGAUGAUCCGUUAAACUCUUGGUUGGAGGAAAGAGAAUCUCCAUUGUUUGAUGGGCAACCAAUGUAACAGCCCGAAAACCGGUACCCCUUUGUAACGGCUCCAAACUGCUCGGCGCUAGGAUCCAGAUCGGCUUAAGGCCGCGGGACCCGUAGCAAGCCUGCUAAACUCUCUAAACAUCUGGUAUAAUCCCAUACAUGAUCAACCUAUUACUUUUCAGGCUUAACCUGAGCAAGAUCUGUAACUGAAAACUUGUCUUUUCUCUUUACCAAGCUUAACUCGUGCAUGCACUUACUACUAACUUAACCCCACUCUGGAGUCUACAAGGGCUGCUCCAAUGGAGUAACAUCUCAUUCAUUAAGCUUGGUUACCAUGAAAACGUCUUGAAAACAUUUCAAGCAAAAUGAAAACAUUUAUCUUAAAAAACUCAUGAUCAUGUACCACAUGAAGGGAUUAACCAACACUAGGCAAAGCACAUCUCUAAACCUUAUCUCAUAUACCUUUCUUAACUUUACUCUAUCACUUUACCACAUAUUCUUUCCAUUCAUAACCUUUAUAUACAUCAUGUCCUUACAUCAUGUCCACAACUGCACUAUAUAAGCAUAUAAAACAUAACAUCACUUAAUCUUUAUAUCAAUCUUGCAUAACAUAUACAUGCCACUCAAACAACACUAAGCUAUACUAUUACAUCCAAAACACUAGCCACAACAUAACUCUUGACUCUGCCACCUCUGACUUCCCAUAGCUCACUCUGAUCAAACUCUGGCCCUGCAACACUGGGGUUAAGGGAAAGGGAUGAGCUACUAGAGCCCAGUGAGUAGAAACCAUAAAACAGUUCAUUCAUUCAUUACAUGCUCUCGUGCAAUGCGUCACAGCACAAACAUAUCAUAUCUCGGAUUAGACAUGACCCCAGACACUACAAAAAUCUGUUGGAAUAGUAACGGAUAUUAGUAACGGAUUUAAAUCCGUUAUAAUUUUAUAACGGAUUAGUAACGAAUUUUAUAUUCUGUUACUAAUUUUUAUUAUUUAGUAACGGAUUGACAAUCCAUUACUAAAUCUGUUACUUAAUAAAAUUAUUUAUAAAUUUAAUAACGGAUUUUGAGAUCCGUUAUAAAUCUAUUACUAAAUUAGCUAAAAGUUAGUAACGGAUCUCAAUCCGUUAAUAAAUUUGUUACUAAAUCGGUUACUAAAUAAAUAAAUUAAAUAAAUAAAAUAGUAACGGAUUUAAUAACGGAAUGUUGUAACGGAUUUAAUCUGUUACUAUUUUUUUAAUAAAAAAAUUAAUUUUUUAUUUUUUAAAAUUUCAAAUUUUCUUUUUAAGUUAGUAACGGAUAUAAUCUGUCACUAAAUCCGUUACUGAUACGAAAAUUAGUAACAAAUUCUAUAAUCCGUUACUAAAUUUUAGAAAAUAAAAUACCGCGCUUUUAUUUUAAAUUCCUGCAUUUUUAUUUCUAAUUUAGUAACGGAAAAAAUCUGUUACUGAGUUCAUUACUAAUUUAAAAUUAGUAACGGAUUAAGAAAUCCGUUACUAAAAUUUGAAGAAUAAUACCGCCUUUUUAUUUUAGUUCGCCCGCAUUUUUUUUUUAAAUUUAGUAACGGAUUUAAUCCGUUACUAAAUCCGUUACUAAUUCGCGUAUUUAUACACUCACCCAUUUUAUCUCCCUUCACUUAUUCAUUUUCUUUCUCCCCAUUUUAUUUCCCUUCAUUUCAUUCAUCUUCUUUCUCCUCUUCUCUCAUCAUUUCUUCAUUUCUCCCUUAUCUUAUUUUUUUCUUAAUUAUUAACUCCAUUUUUUUUUCAUUUUCUUUCAUUUCCUUCAAUUUUCUCUUUAAUUUUCUUUCAUUUCCUUCAAUUUUCUCUUCAAUAUUCUUUCAUUAUUGAUCUUCCUUUUAUCACUUGAUUUUUGUUUUAUUUUCUCUCAUAUUUUUUCUUUCAUUUUUUUCUAUUUUCUUUCAUUUUCUUCUAUUUUCUUUCAUUUUCUCUUCCACUUUCUAUCAUUUUCCCUUCCUUUUUCUUUCAUUAUUCAUUCAUUUAUUUUCUUUUCUCUCAUAUAUAUACUCUAACCUUUUUUUUACAUUCUUUUGUAUAUCUUCAUUUUCUCUUUAUUUUUCUUCAUUUUUUCUUCAUCUUUCUCUCAUUUUCUUUCUUUUUUCUAUUUUUUCUUCCUUUUUUCUCAUUUUCUUUAAUUUUCCCUUUUUUCUUAUUUGCUCUUCAUUUUUAUCAUUAUUUUCUUUUAUUUUCUUUCUUUUGUUAUUUUCUCUUUUAUAUCUCAUUUUUUUUUCUAUUCUCUCACAUUUUUUCUUUUUUAAAUUUUCUCAUGUAAUUUUAUAAUAAUUUUCUCAUAAAAUUAAUAAAAUUUAAAAUAUUAAAGUUAAUAUUUAAUAUAAAAUACAAUGAAAAAAUUAAUAGUUUACCAUAAUUAAAUUAUUAUCUAAUGUAAAAUAUAAUGAAAUAAAUUAAUUCCAUUUAAAAAAAAUGAAAUAAAUUAAUAAUUUAAUAUAAUUUUUAAAAUAUUUUUUAAAAUUAACAAUAGAUUUAAUAACGAAAUAUAAAUUUAAUAUAUUUUUUUUAUUUUUUAUUUUAUCAAAUUAGUAACGGAUUAGUAACGGAUUUCUAUCCGUUACUAAAUUUAGUAACGGAUGCAAUUUAUUUAUAUAUUUUUAAUUUUUAUUAAAUUAGUAACGGAUUUGAAAUCCGUUACUAAAUUUCAUUACAAAUCCGUUACUAAAUUCGUUACUAAAUUAGUAACAGAUUGCUAAUCGGUUACUAUUGCAUUAGCAACGAGGUUCAUAGUAACGGAUGUAAAUACGUUACUAAUCUGUUACUAAACUGGUUAGUAACGGAUUUUUCAUUGAUUAGUAACGGAAAAAUCCGUUACUAAUCCGGAAAAAUCUUAUAGUGAGAACUCCCUCUGUCGGUGACCGGCCCCUAAGGAACAUCUCGGUCACUACAUGUACUAGAGCCCGGCCCCUACUACGGAGCUCCCAAAGGUCUUAUCUAGACAUAACAGGUCGCGGGCUACUGGGAUCGCCUUGGUCCAUCCCAUCAACAGUAAAAUAGUGCAAUGCAACAUAGUCGUGAUCUCUAAUGCAAUACAACCUGGUAUCACAUGGCAUUCAUGAUGCGUGUCUCAUGCUCAUACUGUCAUUUCCUUUAAAUAUUAACUUUAAAACAUGCAUAGUUAGUUCUACUCACCUGAAGCCUCUGCUCAGCUAACUCUGGGCCUACUCUAACACUGGAGCUAAACACCUCGCCUCAGGUCCGAUCCUACACAGGUGGUCUCACAUGAGGUGCCAAACAACUCUAAAACAUCUCCCCAAAACCCCUCUAAAGCAUCAUAAGCAUGCAUGGAAAAACAUGCAAAGGAAGGCAAAACAGGGCACCUUCGGCGGCACUUUCGGCGGCCGAAAGUCUCCUCCAGAGACGAAACUCGGGUAGGUUCGGCGGCACCUUCGGCGGCCGAAUGUGCAUGACAGAUCCGAAAGUCCAACUUCCGGAGGCAAGGUUAGGCAGCCGAAACCACCUCCUCAAGGGUUCGGCGGCCGAAACUCCUUUCGGCGGCCGAACCUGAGUUCCUCUAGAACUCAAAUUCAUGCACCAACACACCUCCCUAAGCCUUCCUAACUCUCUUAACAUGCAUACAACCUCUUAAAACCAUGCAUAAACCUCUAAACAUGCAUAAAGGAGCCUAAAACAACCUUAAACUCUAACACUUAACAACAUAUAACACAUAAACACAUACAUAGGCAUAAAGGGCUAUAAAACCCUCCCAUGCAAAACCAUGCAACACAUGCUUCAAAACCCCCAAAACUCUCCAUAAAACUUGCUUAAAACAUCAUAAAACAUAAGGAUCAACACUUACCUCUUGAAGAACUAGAGUUGGUGUGAUCCUAGCUUCAAAACGUGGAGAUACCAAGCUUCUAAAGCUUCAAACUCCAAAACCUUGCUCAAAGCUCACAACUCUUCAAAACAAGGAUAAAAGUCAUGAAAACCUUGAAAGAACUUGUAAAAAACCAUGAAAUCAUACCAAGGAGGACAUGAGCUCACCUUGGGUGGGAAGAGGAAGAAAACUCACCUCUUGAACCGACCUAAGUGGCUUAUAUAGGUGGCUUGGUCAACCACUUUCGGCAGCCAAACAUGCAGGCAAAACCUUCCUACGUUCAGAAGCCGAACAUGGCUUUCGGAAGCCAAAACCAUGCAACCUUCGGCGGCCGAACUUUACCUUCGGCGGCCGAACCUGCAUUUUGCCUCCUUGACCUUUUCUCUCAAAACUCAAAACCUUUUAACUUAAAACCAUCAAAACCCUUAAAACCUUUUUGAAAACCUUUUAGAAAACCUUUAUUUUACCCUUGCUUAACCCUUGACAAAGGGUCCGACAUCCGAGAUUCCACCGGACGGUAGGAAUUCCGAUGCCUGAACGAGCCGGGUAUUACAACCAAAUCCAUGGUUAGAUGAUGAAGAGGCGGGUAAUGCUCCAUCACAGUCUGAAUCUGCCACUCAAACUCAAGGACAACAAGGUGCUGCUGGUGAUGAUGAUUCUUUUAUUUUAUCCAGCUCUAGUAGUGAUGAUGAUGGUGGUGGUGGUGAUCAAGGUGGAGGAGGAACCACAGUUGAAGGAGGUGGUAGUCGUAGUUCACAAGAUCCACCUAGUCAAAGACAAAGUGGAAUUAGAAUUGCUUCUGAACCAUCUCCGAUGCGUACAUAUCAAAGAUCACAAGGCUCUCAUAGUUCUGGUACUGGUGGUGCUGAAACAUCCCAAACAAGAGGUAAGGAUGUUGCAUAUGAGGAGGAGGGGUCAAUUGAUUCAUUAAAUUAUGAAUACAAUGCUGGCACAUAUAAUCCAAAUUUUAUGUAUGGUGGUGGACGUGGACCUGGUGGUAGCUCAUCAUCUGAAGAUACUUCAUCAAAUUAUGGGUUCCAUGGCCAAUUUAGAGGGGUGCCAUAUCCAACAAAUUAUCCUCCUGCAUAUUCAUAUUACCCCUUAUCAAGAGCAGAGUCAGCUUUAUCAUACCCUCAACCAACUUAUGGUGAUCCUAAUGAUAUUAUGGGUGGUGGUUCUUUAUUUAGUUUUGAUCCACAAUAAUACUAUCAACAUCAGCAGCAUCACCUUAAUGAUCAAAGCUCAGAGAGCCAAAGUCAAGACCAACAAGAACCUGCACAAUGUUCUUUUUGGUGGUAGUGAGGUUGGUAAUUUCCUAUUUGGUAUUUAAUUUAAGCUAAAUAGUAUACAUUUGAUAUAUUUAUGUUUAUUAUAUAUUUGUAUAUAUUGUUCUGAAUUAAAUCUAUUGAUAUCAUAUCAUUUUAUGAACUUUGCAAAUUGAUUUGAAAAAUUUGCGUAGCGCCAGGCCGUUACCAUUAUGUUACGGCUGUUACAGACCUAUUUCCGUUACCCGCGACCGCGGCCGCGAUCACCAUUUAAAACCAUGAUCUGAUUUCUGGUUCUUGUUAUAUGCUCUUACAAAAUUCAUCUAAAAUUCAGUGCUCUUACACAUUCUAGAAACACAAUUUAUACAAAAACUGAUUCUCAGGAAAAAAGGGAAAAUAAUGUUAUUUGCAUUGAAUGAACAAAUGAUUAGCUUAGUAGCAAAACUACUUAAAAUCAGAGAAAUUAGAAAUAAAAAAGCAGCACAACAUGAGUCUGGGCAUUGCAUGUUGCAUGAUCGAAACAGAGGUCUUGAGCGAGAAUCUAGAUCCUGAAAUACGCAGGCCUGCAAAAAGUCAUUCGAAGAAGUGUGCAAAACUCCCAUCAUUAAGCUUUCAUUUCUGCUUCCCGCUCAGCAGGAUUACUAUGUACUGAGUUGUUUUCUGAACUGUGACAGAUAGGAAACUUGUCCCGGUGAGUUUUUAUUCCGGGAUGUCAAGGGCACAAUGCGCAGCUUAGUGAAUCUCCAUCAUCUUUGCCACAGGUGUAAGUUAUGAAGAUAGUUGCUAGAUGGAGGAUUUUCACACUAGUGAUUUAGCAUCUGUUUCAAGCCAGAAUCAUCAUUAAAUCACAGAUUUGCUUUACAAGCAAUAACUAGGGGGAUUUCAUAUUACAAGUAGAGUCUUUAUAACCUACUGAAUCGCUUAUUUGCGAAGACAGAAGAAAAGGAGAGCUCACGUUUUGUUUUUACUGCACAAAUACUGCAUAUGGAAUCUGAGUGAGAAGUUACUCCCUAAAAAUUUCAAAAGUGUUUUUGAGAGGUACCUUUGCGCGAAUCUUCUGGCAACAGACUCAAAGAAGUCAUCCAAUAAGUAGAAAUUCAUCUAUGGAAGGCCACACACAUGAAUAGCAGUUCUUUCAAGGCGAAUUAUGCCAAGCCAAUCAAGGAAUUGCUGCCAUGGCAUGUAGUUGUGUUUUCUUAAAGUGUUCGAGUAACUUCUGCACAAGGAAUCAAAUUAAUCUUUAAAUCCGUGAAAUUAAAAAGGAUGCAGAAUUACAAAACUAAUAAUAAGAACAAUAAUAAUAAGAUGGAUAGAAGCAUGACCAGCCAAUGCAUGAUUUCGGCAAGCCUUUGCUUUGGUUCACCACUUCCCAAUGUAGUAAGAAUUUCAACAGCAUCCCAGAAUUUCAAUAGCAUCCCAAUGAUAACUCAUACUUAAUGAGCCUUGAUGGAGAAAUGAAAGUCCAGUUAAAAUUAUUCAAAAUGCAUAUCCACUCGCCAAGAACAUAUGCACCCAGAAAUCUCCUUAAAUAAAUAAGGUUUUAACAAGGUGAAUGCUUUGCUUUUUUCUUUUUUUUUGGGAAGAACUUCAAAGUAAACAAAGGUAAGACUAUUGGGUUUCGAUGUUUACCUUGUGUGGGAGAAAUAUAAUGUUUACACAGAAAUCACAUUUUGUUUUCAGAAUAAAUGGAUUUUUCCACCUCUGCAUUUGACAUUGAAAAAACUUGAAUAAAUACCAAAUAAUUAAGAAAUGCUGCUGAUUUAAUUUACAAAGGAAUGGUGCCUGUGAAGAGAAAUUGACAUAUGGCAAUCACCUUCAGCACAAUCAAUUCUCAUCCUAAGUUAGAAGACUAAUCAAACUAAUUGCAGCAAUAACAUCUUUUCCACGACGUCUACUAACUUCUGCACAUAGAGUCAAAAUUAAUCCGUUAUAUCCAUGAAAAGAAUGAAGGCAGAAUUACAUUAAAAAAUGAAUAAAAAUGAUGGUUAAAAGAAUGACCUGCCAAUGCAUUUAAAAUCUCUUUGAAUUUGUUUCCCACAUCCCAAUUUAUUAGAAUUUCAGGUGAGUAAAAAAGAAAUAAAUGAUUCCUCUAGCUCGAUGAGCCUGUACAUGUGGGAAAAAAGUGUUAAAAUAUUAUCAUAAAGCAAAUAAAUUCUCAAUUAUAAAAAAAAAAAAUAAAAGAAAAAAAAGGUACUCUGUAUAUUGAUCUUGAUUGUAAAGAAAUAAUGACAAAAGGAUACUUACGAACUCAAAGGUAAUACACUGCUCAUUUUGGAAGAAACACAUCCAACACUUCAAAACUUAUCCUUCAUUGAUCUGUGUAAAUAGAAUCAUAGAGUGAAGAUUUUCUCAUGUAAGUUUAAUUUGCAAAUUGGACAGAAAAAGGACCAACUUACCGAAGCUUCAUCAUCCAGUAGAUAGCGGCCCUCUCUUUGAAUUCUUUGGUCAUCAACUUCAAUAUUUGGGAUGUGAGAAAUGAAAGCCCAAUCCGCACCCUUUCUAUUUCCACAUGUUUCCUUCAAUUGGGGACAGUCAUUGAUAUUCAAUUCUCGUAACGAGGUGAGGGAACGCAUCUCUUGAGGCAGACACUUUAUUGCCGGACAAUACACAAUGGUUAGAUUUUGAAGACAAGUGAGAUUCCGCAGUCCAUCUGGAGGUAGAGAUUCGAGCUCUUUAAUGUCCAUAAUGCAAAGGUUCUUCAAUUUAGAGAGAGGAGGAAUGAUUGAGGAAGAAGAAGAGAUUGAUGGUGUGAAUAUUUGGUGCACAAGUUGUGGGCUUGCGUGCAGCAAUUCUAGUGAAUCAUCGAGAGAUGGAAACUGAGGGAUGGAGGUCAAAUUAGGGCAGACCUCACAAGAGAAAUAUGAAAGACAAGGAAAUUGGAGUAGCUCAAGAGCUGUCGAAUCAUCCCUCUUCUUCUGCCAUCCUUUAAGCUUAGGACAAAGAUAUAGCUUGAGAGUCUUUAGGGAUGGAAAGAAUGAUGUUGGUUGUCCCUCAAUCUCCAUGUAUUUUAAAUCAUCUACUCUCGAAAUCUCUAGAUAUUGAAGAGAAGGGAUUUGAUCCAUUGGUGGGAGAUGCUGAUAUCUCUUGCAAUCGCAUAUAGAGAGAUAGACAAGAUUCGUGAGGGAAGAGAACCAACUUGGGAACCUGCUGCCUCCAUAGCCAAGCACACGUAACUCUUUAAGAUUGGGAUGUGGUUGGAGAUUUUGGAAUGCCAUUUCAUCUCUAUCAACAUUUGAAUGUUCCCAACUCUCCUCCCAACGUAAUUCCAAUGAUUGAAGGAAACUUAAUAGUCAACAGUACUCACUGUUCGUGUCAGCUUGCGAUGUGUGUCAAAGGGUGAAGCUAGAGCACCAGAAGCCGGCGGGAAUGCUUAACCCACUGCCGAUUCCAGAGUGGAAAUGGGAGAAUAUCGCUAUGGACUUCAUAGUGGGGUUACCGGCAACGUCCAACAGAUUGGACUCCAUAUGGGUGAUUGUGGACAGACUCACCAAAUCUGCUCACUUCAUCCCUGUCAGGAGUGGCUAUUCUGUGGAUAAGCUGGCGCAGGUGUAUGUGGAUGAGAUUGUCAAGCUGCAUGGGGUUCCUGUUUCUACAGUGUCUGAUAGAGGGCCCCAGUUCACCUCCAGAUUUUGGCGGAGUCUGCAGAGUGCUAUGGGUACCAGAUUGGAUUUCAGUACUGCUUUCCAUCCACAGACUGACGGACAGUCAGAGAGGACCAUCCAGACGAUAGAGGACAUGCUCAGAAUGUGUGUGCUAGAUUUUGGCGGUUCUUAGAGGCAGCAUCUACCCUUGGUGGAGUUUGCCUACAAUAACAGCUAUCAUGCUAGCAUAGGGAUGGCCACAUAUGAAGCUUUGUAUGGGAAGAAGUGCAGAUCUCCUAUCUGCUGGGAAGAAGUGGGAGAAAGGACUCUUGCGGGUCCGGAGUUAGUAGAGCUUACCAGCAGGGUAGUGCCCAUAAUCAGAGAGAGGAUCAAGACUGCUGCUAGCCGGCAGAAGAGUUAUGCAGAUAUCCGCAGAAGACAGCUAGAGUUUCAGGAGGGGGAUUUGGUUUUGCUCAAGGUGUCUCCUAUGAAAGGGGUGGUUCGUUUUGGAAAGAAGGGUAAGUUAGCUCCACGGUAUAUCGGUCCUUUUGAGGUUCUCCAGAGGGUCGGAAAUGUAUCGUACAAGCUGGACUUGAGGUUCUAGAUCACUGUGGUCUGUGGCUCGUAUGCAACCCAAAUUUCUAGUUGACACCUGCAGAGACUCAAAGAAGAUAGAAAACAAAUUAGAGUAAUUCAAAUUUAAGUUGAUUUCUUUUGUUUUUUUAAUUAAUCCUUUGCCUGAGAUCUUUCAUCCGAUUGACUAAGAAUUAUCGGCAAAACCAACGAGAAUGAUAAAAAAGGCCUUCAGUGAGUACUGUUGACUAUUAAGUUUCAGAAAUUGGGAACAUUGUUGCCUUGAUUCACUUGUGUUCUCUCAGAAGAAUUAAAUCCAAGAUGUAAAUUCCCCUUCAGUACUAAGUUAAGAUCUUCCACUUCCAUUCCCUUGUAAGUUAGGAGUUUGACAAUUGAUUUUCCAAAAACACUAUCAAAACCUUUUCUGAAAAAGGAUAUUCCUUCAGAAAUAGAGUUGAGGAAGUCAUCCAGAAUUUCAUUAUUCUUGGCAUUCUUAUUGUAAAAGGAUCGAUAUGCAUCUCUUACAUCUUCUAUAGAAAUAUCCUUUCCAGCCAGUUGCAAAAGAAACACACGAUGAAAGGCAACACCUACUUGCACUUCAUGCAUCAAUGCCAAUGCAAUCACCUUACCAGAAAAUUCAAAACAGUCGUAAUGCAAGGGUUCCAACUUCAAUUCUGCAUAUAUAAUGAAUUAAAAAAUAAUGGAUCGUUACUCUAUAAUUUCUCUUUUCUACUCCUUCCUUCUUAUAUUCUUUAACAUAUAAACAUAUCUAUAUUAGGCAUAUAUCAAUCAUUUCUCAAGAAAAGAGAAAAUCAGGUAAAGUAAUAUAUUAUUAUGGAUGCCACUGACAACAAAUUAAGAUCAAAUUAAAAAGGUAGGAUAGUGCCUGCAAGUUGAUCCAAAUGAGCGUCCAACUGCUUAUGAGCUUUUGGAUCAUCCAUUUGUGAAGGAUAGUGGCUUUUAGCAUCUUUUUUCAAAUUUAGUGAACUCCCUGAAGUUUCUUCUUUAGCCUUAAUUGUGUGAACAUACACCUCUCAUAUUGCUUUCUAAGAGAAAAAGAAAGUCUAGUUAGGUCGUUUAUGAACUUGCAAUGAGUCAAAAUCAUUUUGUAACAUCAUAUUUUAAGUUUGGUACGUGUAUGCUGUGUUUUGAGUUGUAGCUGUUGAUUCUCCUAUGCUGCGUUUGUAAAAGACCGUUAGUCCUCAAUUUUGUUUGUAAUGAGUUUUUUCGUUCUCUCGCCUCAAAUACACGACACAUCGGACUUAACCGCUCAUUUAUCCAAUGUGAAUUAUCUUCAAUUAUAUAUACUGUUUUUGGAUUAAAAUGAUGAAAAGCAGUCAUGAAUCUAUGCAAACGACUGUAUGAUUCAUAUUUAUCCCUCACUUCGACUUGUAGGGUAGCAAUUUUUAUAUAUGGCUCCUGUUCAAUUAAUGCAAAUAUAAAUGAACAAAUAAAAUUUUCAUCCAAUUGGUUAUGGUUUUUUGUCAACUGAGAAUUUGUGCAUGUGUGCAACUCACUGUAUCUCGUAAUUUUCCAUAUAUCCUCCCCUUCUUUUUUGGAUGUUUGAAGCCUCCAUGCACACCCACUUUCUUUGUCUUUACACUUUAUAGAAUAAGUCUUCUCUCUUGUUGCAUGAUAACAAAAUUGAUGAUGAUAUUUUUUUGCAGCCGCAGCCACUGCAUCUCUUGAAAAAAUAUCAUCCAAACUGAAAAUUCUUUAGAAGGAUCCCAAAAGGAACGACCUUCUGGCCUAUCAUAAGGAUCCACUCUCAGCAAAUCGAAGUCUAUUUCUGCGUAUGGGGGAUGAUGAACAACAGACACAAUAGGAUUAGGAAAUUGUGUGUUGUAAUAUCGAGACUCACUCCCACUAUCUUCCUGACCAUUAUCAUCCUCAUCAUCCUCAGAAGACAUCCAUGAAUCAUCGUCAUCGUCAUCCUCGUUGUCAUUCUCUACUGCAUCAGAUAAAUUAAUUGAUGGCCCUGUAAGACUUUUAGAUAAACCAUAAUCAUCAACUACAUUUUGCUCUUCACAUGAAUCAUCAUUUGAUUCCACAGCAGUUUCAGAUUGACCAAUAUCAGCAUCCUCAUUUGUAGUAUCAACACAACGAAGUAUCUUAACAUAUAUUUCUAUACCAAGUAUACCACCAAUUUGAUACAAGUAAUUAAACAUACUAGAUACAUCAUCUUCACCCCAUAUCUCCAUACAUUAAAUUUUAAGGAUCCAUCCACAAUUGUAGACUUUCUAAAACUAAUUGUCUAUAAAUUCAUUAUUCUCGGAUAAUCCAAUUGCACAAGCAAUUUUACCGACCAAUUGAUUAAAACUUAUCUGUAUACCCAUUGGAAUAAUCUUUGAAAAACCUCCAUCAUAAUCGUAACCAUUACAACUAUUUAUAAUAUUAUCAUCCCAAUGAAUAUUAGUAUAUACAGGAACUGUCAUUUCUCUGAUAAAAAAAAAUAGAAUAAUAAAUAAUUUGAUCUCAAUUUACUAUAUACAUAAAAAAAAUAAAAAUUUAGAAUAUAAAAUAUUUAAAACUUACCUGCGUUUCUCUUUUUGUAGUCGAAUCGAUAAGAGUAGAUAUAAUAAUUUUGUGAAAUUUGUAGAGGAGAAUAAAUAGUUUAUAGAACGCAAUUUGUUGAGAUAUAAUGCAGAUUUUGAGUAAUUUAUAGAGUAGUGGGUGAGAUAAUUUAUAGAGAGAUCGGAAAGGGGCGAGCUAAAGUGAUUUAUAGAGUGGUGAGUGGGAUCAUUUAUAGAGAGGUGUGGGAGUAGUAGCCGUUGGCUAGUUCGGCAGUGAUGGUGCCGAACUAGCCGUUGCCGAACUUAUUGCUCCGUACAUGUAGACAAAGAAGCCACGGACUGCACAGGAGGAAUUAAUUGUACAAGAAUUUGUUCCACACCAUCACUGCCGAACAAAUUUCUGUGCAAUGAACCUGCAUGCAUGCACGGUCCUGCAGGUUCAGCUCUUCGGCACUAUAAGUGCCGAAGAGUUUUCUUCUUGUGCGUGUUCGGCACCUUGUGUGCCGAACACGUCAUGCUGGCAGCCACGGGAGCAGAUUACACUGCUCCGUGGCACGGAUCAGCUUGUUCGACACCAUGAGUGUCGAACAAGCUGAAAAACAUCAUGUUCGAUACCUAUAGUGUCGAAUAAUAGGAAGUUUGUACAGCCAUAUCUUUUAGUGUACCAUAGACACAAAGUGAGCAAUUUGAACAAUUUUAGAAUUUCAAUUCAAAUGUGUAUAUAUUUUCUUGUUUUAUUUCUUCCAAAAAUCUGCAAAUGAUGUUUUAUUGUUCUUUUUCUAAACAAAUCAUGUGACCAUAUUGUAAUAAUUUUGUUCAUUUAAUUUGUACAACACAGAAACAAUCUUUUACAAACACAGCACAGAAGAAUGAAGCACAACAUACACCAACCUUAAAACAUGAUGUUACAAAAUGAGCGAUUCACUGCAAGUUCAUGAAUAAAUCUGCUACCUUUUUUUUUUUUUUUCUGAAGGAAGUAAACGUGAACAAAAGCUCAUAAAACAUUGAACAUUUGUUCACACCAUUCAAGCUGAAAAGAAAUUUGAGAAAUGCUAACAGCCAGAAUCCUUCACAAACAGAUGAUUCAAAAGCUGAGAAGCAGUAGGACGCUUUUUUGGAUCAACUUGCAGGCACUUCAUGAUAAAAUCUCGCGCAUUCUCUGACAGAGAAUAAUUAGGAAGAUGAUUUCGAAGUGUCCCUUUUUCAACCUCCAAUUCUAGAUUUGCAUCCCAAUCAUUCACAUGAGAGUAUGGAUAAUUCCCAGUUAACAUCUCCAAGACAGUGCAGCCAAGGCUCCAAAUAUCAGCUUCAACUCCAUACUCUUUGUCCUUUUUCAUAACCUCUGGAGCUAUCCAGUCUAUUGUCCCAUGGCGAGACUUCAAAAGAGGAACUAAUUCUGUCACUUUUGCCAAUCCAAAAUCUGUAAUUUUCACGCAUCCUUUCUCAUCCACUAAUAUAUUUGCACAUUUGAUGUCUCUGUGAACUACCUUUCGCUCAUGGAGAUACUUCAAACCUUCUAGUAUCUGGUUGGUGUAGUAGGAGACUUGGGAGUCUUUCAAUUUAAAACUUUUAUAUACUUGUCGGAGGGAACCUGUGCUUACAAGCUCAAGAAAAAUAUAGACCCCUGACUUAUCCUCCUCAGUACCAUAGUAUUUGACUAUAUUUGGAUGACGUAAUUGACACAAUAAAUUAACUUCUUGCUGAAUUCUGUCAAUUUCUUGCUUAAUUUUGUCUUUGAUUCGUAUUUUCUUUACCGCGAAAAAGAAACCACCAUCUGCAUAUCCCUUGUACACGUUUCCAGAAAUCCCUCCUCCCAGAGUCUUCUUACGGUCCAUUCGCCACUCUGACUUGUUAAUAUUAAGUCCUUGUCUAUUAAUCUGCAAGUUAUUCAAUAUAUUUUCAACAUUAAAAAUUAAUAGAAUUGCAGUAGUACUCCUGGUUAUGCUAAUAAAUCUCACAAGAUUUCUUCUAAAAUAUUUGCAAUACCUGCAGUAAAAUCGUGAAAUUGCUAAAAGGUCAUAGAAAAAAAGUCCAGGAACCUACAUGAUUGCUUUAGAAAGACGACAAAACAAGCAAUUUAUUAACAAAGAAGAUUUCAGCAACUCAUGUAUUGUAUUUGAAAUUAGUCUUCGUAGCUGGAUAAGUACUGAAAACAUAUAGGAAACAACAGUUAUGUUAUGAUAACACUGAAAUUUUUGUAAGCGCGUACCUUCAGGAACUGAGACAUCAGAGGAUCACUCGCAUGUGUUAUCUCUCCAGAAAUAAAUUCAAGAUUUAAUUUUCCCUUUAGCACCAGGUUAAGAUCUUCAAGUUCUAUGCCCUUGAAAGAUAGCAGUUGGACGAUUGAUUUUCCAAAAACACUAUCAAAGCCUUUUCUGAAAAAGGAUAUUUGUUCAGAGAUAGAGUUGACUAAGUCAUUCCGAAUUUGAUCAUCAUCAAGAAAACAUUCCUUGGCCUUCUUAUUGUAAAAAGAAGGAUAUGCAUCUUUUACAUCUCCUAUAGAAAUAUCCUUUUCCGCCAGUUGAAAAAGAAACAUACGGUGAAAGGCAACACCUAUUUGUAGUUCAUGCAUCACUGCCAAUGCAAUCACCUUGCCAGAAAAUUCAAAACAGUCGAAGUGCAAUGGUUCCAGCUUCAGUUCUGCAUAUAUAACAUAUGACCAAAAACGGAAAAAGAAAAACUAUACUUAAAACGGGAUAUUAAUAAAUUUAAGAUAAAAAGGAUUUUUAUGGCAUAUUUCUCGUAUUAAAUGUAUUUUUAUUGGUUUACAUUAUGAUUAAAUUUAAAAAAUUUGCAGUUUUUUUUAAUAUGGAAAAAAUGUAAAAUCUAGAAAAAAAAAUAAUCGGAAUUAGUAGUCUUAGAAUCUAUUUGUACAAAAAUAAAAGAUAGAUUUAAUUUUUCGAGUGAUCUGAUCAUGCGGGGUAGUACAAGAAUAUUCACCUGUUGUCCAUCGACUACGCCCUUCAGCCUGAUCUUAGGCCUUGACUCACUUUUCGUGGACGAACCUUGCGGAGGAACCCUUAUAUCACAUGUUUCGUGAAUUUACAUAUAAUUUAGGUAAAAGUCAGAGAUGACAACUUAUUAGUAAAACUUUUUAUUGUACAUAUUAAUAAAUAUAAAUAAUCUUUUUAUUAUGCAUUUUGCGUCGAAUGUGUACGGUCAAUUUAUGCCAUCAUCUAUUAACUAUCUGUCAUACCCUAAAUACUUUCAUAUCUUAUUGUUUUAAUACCUAAUCGUAUUGUCUCACAUGUACAUAGCUAGCCGAAAGGAAUGAGAAGAAAAACUUAAAAAUCUUAUGCCAAGUCCAAUAUUGUAUGCUACAUGUCGUAAAUUAAUUAUAUGAUGAAGUUGUGACAUAAGGGUUAUAUCAAUCAUUUAUCAAGGGGAAAAAAAAAAUAGGAGAAGCAAUAAUUACGGAUGCUAUUCAUAGGAUCUUACCAGGAUUAGGGUAGAACUUCGUAGGAUCAUUUGGGCACGCCAAGAAAAGCAGAUUUUGCGGUUUGAAUAUAACUUGGCAUAACUUGUAUAACCAAUCCUGCAACUUUUUAGGACUGGUGAGCUUCUUAUUUUUCAAUGCUUCAAACAUCUCUUCGUCCAGAAAUCUAGACCAGUGAAUGAGUGGCUUGUAGAACUCUGCAUCAAGUAAUUUUUCCUCGGGGAUCAUCAUCAUGGUGACUAAGUGCAUCCUGGAUUCAGAAUCAAUCACAUCAUUGUGCUCAAGCAGCCAGUGAUAAUCAUCUUCUCUAGUAGUUGUUUCAAGUAUCAGUCGUAAUGAACUCUGCUGCCUCUUCAAUAAAAGCCGAAACUGCUCCCUUUCACUCUCCCAUAGUUGAGAAAUGCUAUUCAAUUCUUUCAAAAUGUCCAGAUAUAAAUGCGAAACAGAACACAAACAACCACUUGUUUCGAAUAGUUCUGCUGUUAAUAGUAAACCAUGAAGAUGACCCUCCAUGUCUGUAGACAGGUGAUUGAAUGCUUCUUUAGUUGGGACUGAAAACCAUGUCAAUGUUUCUUCAUCGUCACCGUCUAUAUAGCCAAUUGCAUUGCGCACUACACAUGAAAAUGCCUGAAAUUCACCAAAAAGAAAUUUCAAUGAAUCAAUGUGUGAACUUGGAUUUGAUACGCGGAUCUGAACCAAACCCUUGCAUAAUGUGCUUGUCAUCUCAUAAAGGAAAGAACAAAUUGUCAGCACUGUUUCUGGCUCCUCAAAGAGUUUGAUCUUAAAUCUACUUCUUUCCACCAACUGUUUGAGAGAAGUCCGACAUGACUGAUACAGAGGAUCUUCAUUAGUUACUUGAUGUCGAAGUAAUUUACAGAAUUCUAAAGCCAAUAGUCUACAUUCUGGAAGAAAAUCAUCUGGACGAUUCAAUAAAUAAUGCAUGGAAGACAAUAUCAAAGCUCUAGCAUAGGCUUUCUGUUGUUUAAUUCUUGACCUGUAAAACAUAACCAAAGUCGCAGGGACAGAAUACGCAAUCAGAAGAAGCUCUGAUUGCUCGUUUCUUUCAGGUGCCAACAGUGCAAACAUCUUAUGCGCUAGUGGACAGUAAUCUAUCCGCGAGACAGAUUUCUCUCGGUACAUUCGACAAAUGGUCGAACUGAUUUGGUGGAUCAUUUGAAAAAGUUCCGAUUCGCCGUCGAGUUCAACCACCAAUUUGAGCCAAGCUUUGUUUUGAAUUGAGCAGUCUUCAAGCGUCUUAUUCCACUCUAGCUUCUCACCUUUGUAAUAUAAUUUCUGUUGCGUAACUGGAAUUUUGGAGAUCACCAGGAUUUUCUGCUGGAUAAAUUGUACUUCAAAAUUGGAUUUCACAAGAAUUUUUAUAGGUUUACGUUUCGGCAUUCUGACAAAUAAAUGAAAGGAAUUGGAUUCACUAUUCGCCAUCAGCUCUAGAUCACUGUGGUCUGUGGCUCGUAUGCAACCCAAAUUUCUAGUUGACACCUGCAGAGACUCAAAGAAGAUAGAAAACAAAUUAGAGUAAUUCAAAUUUAAGUUGAUUUCUUUUGUUUUUUUAAUUAAUCCUUUGCCUGAGAUCUUUCAUCCGAUUGACUAAGAAUUAUCGGCAAAACCAACGAGAAUGAUAAAAAAGGCCUUCAGUGAGUACUGUUGACUAUUAACUCUUCAGUGAGUACUGUUGACUAUUAAGUUUCCAACAUCCUUUGAGGAAAUAUGCCCUUUUGCCACUACGAACAGUGACAACGUCUGAAGUGAACUCAACUGCCCAAGCCCACGUGGCAUAUGAGUCAAAGAGAAACAACCUUGACAAUACAAAUGCCUAAGAUUCACAAGCUUUUUAAUAUCUUUAGGCAAUUCUUUGAGGUUGUAACAAGAAGAGACAUUUAAUACUUGUAAAUUCAGCAAAUCCGUAAUAGAAUUUGGAAGUGCUAUAAGACUCUCUAUAUUAGAAACAUUAAGAUAUCUUAAAUAUUUUAGCAUUUUUAUAGAGCUAUCCAUCAUAUUUAUUCCACAUGAAUACAUCCUAAAUACACGCAAAAAUUUUAAAUUAUGCAAAAAUUUUAAAUUUUUAUGAAUAAAUAGCCAAUCAUGAUCAUGUUUCCUAAGCAGACCAUGAUCAUGUUUCCUAUUCAGAAAUAACGAUCGUAUUCUUUUUGCGUUAUUAAGAAUUUCUUGUGGUGCAACAUCAAAAUUCAACGCUACAUGAUGGGUUUUCUCAUCAAUAUUUGGUGCAUCAGAAUUUAUCAGCUGAAUUCUCUUUCCACCCACUGUGGUUGCGAGAUCGUGCAUUAAAUCAUGCAUUUUACAGCUUUCAACAUUUCCACAUCUAUCUCUUUCCACCUCUUGAAAAAAUGACCUCCACCACAGUUUCAUAAAAUAUUCAAGCCCAAUAUCUUCAAGACAAUCACUCGUACUUGGUGACUCAAUAAACCCUUGUGCAAUCCAAAGAUGGAUUAAUAUUUUCACAUUAAUCACAGAAUCUUUUAGAUAUAUUGCGCAAUAUGCAAAACAAUGCUUCAAAUGUGAUGGGAGAUGAUCAUAACUUAGCUUCAGUGUUGGCAUAAUAUCAUUACCAUCUUGACUUAUUCUUGAGAGUUCUUUUGUUAAAAAGGGCAGCCACUCAGUUUGUGGAUUUUUCGCAUACAAGAGACUUGCAAUAGUUUUUAUUGCAAGAGGAACUCCACGACAUUUCUUCAAAAUCUCCUUUCCCAUCUCUCUUACAUUUGCAUGUUUUGGCUCCUGCCCCUCAAGUGCUACAUGCAAAAACAAAGACCAAGACUCAUCCGGAGACAACCCUUCCAAAACAUGUGGUGCCAUUGUGCUAGACAUAUCUGCCACCUUUUUAGAGCGAGUGGUUAUUAAUAUCUUACUUCCACUAGAGCCACCCACUAAUAAUCUCUUUAAAUUCUCCCAUUUUUCUCUAUUCUCAUUCCACACAUCAUCUAGAACAAGCAGAUAUUUCUUCCCACUAAUAAUUUUUUCCAGUCUAGACUUCAAUGCUUCUAACCCAAGAUCUUCCGAUCUAUUCCCUGUUGCAGACUCUAGAAUCUUUCCAACAGUCAUUUUCACAUCAAAAGGUUCUGAAACACACACCCAUAUUCUUGGCUCAAAUGAAUUCUUAAUCAAUUCAUCAUUGAAUAUGAUUUGAGCAAGAGUGGUCUUCCCUAAUCCUCCAAUUCCAACAAUUGAGAGGACUGAAACACACUCUUCACCAUUGGAAGACAAUACAAGUUCUGUAAUUGCCUUUUUGUCACCCUCUCUCCCAAUAAUCACUUCAGGUAAAGAGGACGUAGUUUGAUCCCUCCAUACAAUACUCUCCUGAUCAGUACGAACCUCUAAAUUAAAUUUUCUGUCAGCUUCAAUAUCAGCUAGCCUCUCCCUAAUCGCCUUAACUUUAUGACCCAUUUUAAAACCAUAAACAAGUUGAUUUGAAGACGAAAAGAAGAGACUUACCUCCUUUGUCAUUCUAUUUCCAGUCAUCACUCGGCGCCUUAGAGCUUCUGUGGCGAAGUCAUCUACCAAGUCAUCAGCAUCAUAAACAACUUCUUCUAGCCUCUCAAGCCAGCCUUUCACUUGACGGUUAAGUUUCUGCUGCUCCUCAGCAUCCAGAAGAACGUUGCGAAUACUAGAAACUGUGGCCUCAAGUUUCUUAAGCUCACCUUUGACGCCCCACCACAAUCCGAUCUCAUGAAGGGCUCGAGAACCCAGCUUGGUAAUGAUAUCUCUGACAACGUUAGAGAGAACUCCGUCGGCCAUUUUGGGUGUUUUGGUUUGGUUGUAAAAGGAUGAAAUGUUGCUGUGAAGAAGAAGAUACCGACAACAAAUGACUAAUUUAAAGAAAAAAAGAAGCGGAGGAAAAAGCAUCUUCUAAAUGAUUAUGUUCGGUCGGUCAGCUUUUUGGAGGGCC